rnacentral:rRNA from 1 species
ACUCAGGUGUUGUUGGGUAGGGGAGCGUUCUGUAAGCCUGCGAAGGUGGCCUGUGAGGGUUGCUGGAGGUAUCAGAAGUGCGAAUGCUGACAUAAGUAACGAUAAAGCGGGUGAAAAGCCCGCUCGCCGGAAGACCAAGGGUUCCUGUCCAACGUUAAUCGGGGCAGGGUGAGUCGACCCCUAAGGCGAGGCCGAAAGGCGUAGUCGAUGGGAAACGGGUUAAUAUUCCCGUACUUGGUGUUACUGCGAAGGGGGGACGGAGAAGGCUAUGUUGGCCGGGCGACGGUUGUCCCGGUUUAAGCGUGUAGGCUGGUUUUCCAGGCAAAUCCGGAAAAUCAAGGCUGAGGCGUGACGACGAGGCACUACGGUGCUGAAGCAACAAAUGCCCUGCUUCCAGGAAAAGCCUCUAAGCAUCAGGUAACAUCAAAUCGUACCCCAAACCGACACAGGUGGUCAGGUAGAGAAUACCAAGGCGCUUGAGAGAACUCGGGUGAAGGAACUAGGCAAAAUGGUGCCGUAACUUCGGGAGAAGGCACGCUGACACGUAGGUGAAGUGAUUUACUCACGGAGCUGAAGUCAGUCGAAGAUACCAGCUGGCUGCAACUGUUUAUUAAAAACACAGCACUGUGCAAACACGAAAGUGGACGUAUACGGUGUGACGCCUGCCCGGUGCCGGAAGGUUAAUUGAUGGGGUCAGCGCAAGCGAAGCUCCUGAUCGAAGCCCCGGUAAACGGCGGCCGUAACUAUAACGGUCCUAAGGUAGCGAAAUUCCUUGUCGGGUAAGUUCCGACCUGCACGAAUGGCGUAAUGAUGGCCAGGCUGUCUCCACCCGAGACUCAGUGAAAUUGAACUCGCUGUGAAGAUGCAGUGUACCCGCGGCAAGACGGAAAGACCCCGUGAACCUUUACUAUAGCUUGACACUGAACAUUGAGCCUUGAUGUGUAGGAUAGGUGGGAGGCUUUGAAGUGUGGACGCCAGUCUGCAUGGAGCCGACCUUGAAAUACCACCCUUUAAUGUUUGAUGUUCUAACGUGGACCCGUGAUCCGGGUUGCGGACAGUGUCUGGUGGGUAGUUUGACUGGGGCGGUCUCCUCCUAAAGAGUAACGGAGGAGCACGAAGGUUGGCUAAUCCUGGUCGGACAUCAGGAGGUUAGUGCAAUGGCAUAAGCCAGCUUGACUGCGAGCGUGACGGCGCGAGCAGGUGCGAAAGCAGGUCAUAGUGAUCCGGUGGUUCUGAAUGGAAGGGCCAUCGCUCAACGGAUAAAAGGUACUCCGGGGAUAACAGGCUGAUACCGCCCAAGAGUUCAUAUCGACGGCGGUGUUUGGCACCUCGAUGUCGGCUCAUCACAUCCUGGGGCUGAAGUAGGUCCCAAGGGUAUGGCUGUUCGCCAUUUAAAGUGGUACGCGAGCUGGGUUUAGAACGUCGUGAGACAGUUCGGUCCCUAUCUGCCGUGGGCGCUGGAGAACUGAGGGGGGCUGCUCCUAGUACGAGAGGACCGGAGUGGACGCAUCACUGGUGUUCGGGUUGUCAUGCCAAUGGCACUGCCCGGUAGCUAAAUGCGGAAGAGAUAAGUGCUGAAAGCAUCUAAGCACGAAACUUGCCCCGA